UACGGAGGGAGCUAGCGUUGUUCGGAAUUACUGGGCGUAAAGGGAGCGUAGGCGGCGCGGUAAGUCAGAUGUGAAAUCCCGGGGCUCAACCCCGGAACUGCAUCCGAUACUGCCGUGCUAGAGGAUUGGAGAGGUAGCUGGAAUUCUUGGUGUAGCAGUGAAAUGCGUAGAGAUCAAGAGGAACACUCGUGGCGAAAGCGAGCUACUGGACAAUUCCUGACGCUGAGGCUCGAAGGCUAGGGUAGCGAAAGGG
rnacentral:rRNA from 1 species